ncrna:unclassified sequences Streptococcus sRNA SpF59 (ldcC RNA)
GGACCACUCUUUAAUGAGUUAAGGCCAUACGGACAGCCGGGUCCACUGCCGA